AGCAGUGGGGAAUUUUGGACAAUGGGCGCAAGCCUGAUCCAGCAAUGCCGCGUGAGUGAAGAAGGCCUUCGGGUUGUAAAGCUCUUUUGUCAGGGAAGAAACGGUGAAGGCUAAUAUCCUUUGCUAAUGACGGUACCUGAAGAAUAAGCACCGGCUAACUACGUGCAGCAGCCGCGGUAAUACGUAGGGUGCAAGCGUUAAUCGGAAUUACUGGGCGUAAAGCGUGCGCAGGCGGUUUUGUAAGUUUGUCGUGAAAGCCCCUGGCUCAACCUGGGAAUUGCGAUGAAGACUGCAAGGCUUGAAUCUGGCAGAGGGGGGUAGAAUUCCACGUGUAGCAGUGAAAUGCGUAGAGAUGUGGAGGAACACCGAUGGCGAAGGCAGCCCCCUGGGUCAAGAUUGACGCUCAUG
rnacentral:rRNA from 1 species